rnacentral:rRNA from 1 species
UACAGAGGUCUCAAGCGUUGUUCGGAUUCAUUGGGCGUAAAGGGUGUGUAGGUGGCGCGCUAAGUCGGGUGUGAAAUUUCGGAGCUUAACUCCGAAACUGCAUUCGAUACUGCCGUGCUUGAGGACUGGAGAGGAGACUGGAAUUUACGGUGUAGCGGUGAAAUGCGUAGAUAUCAGGAGGAACACCAGUGGCGAAGGCGGUGCUCUGGGCCGGAACUGACGCUGAGGAGCGAAAGCGUGGGGAGCAAACAGG